AAAGAAAUAAAAACAGUAGAAAGACAGUGAAAAACAGUAGCGAGGCUAUAUACAGUAGCGAGGCUACAUACAGACACCGUCUAGUCAGGCUGAUUGAGGUAGUAUGUACAUGUAGAUAUGGUUAUAGUGAUUAUGCAUAAAUGAUGAACAGAGAGUAGCAGUAGCGAGUGGCGGGACACAAUGCAGAUAGCCUGGUUAGCCAAUGUGCGGGACCACUGGUUGGUCAGGCCAGGCCAAUUGAGGUAGUAUGUACAUGAAUGUAUAGUUCGUGACUAUGAAUAUAUGAUAAACAGAGUAGCAGCGUAAAAUAUAUAUUUUUUUGGGGGGGGCACACAAUGCAAAUAGUCCGGGUAGCCAUUUGAUUACCUUUUCAUGAGUCGAAUGGCUUGGGGGUAAAAACAGUUGAGAAUCCUUUUUGUCUUAGACUUGGCAUUCCGGUACCGCUUGCCAUGCGGUAGUAGAGAGAACAGUCUAUGACUGGGGUGGCUGGGGUCAAUUUUUAGGGCCUUCCUCUGACACCGCCUAGUGUAGAGGUCCUGCAUGGCAGACAGCUUAGCCCCAGUGGUGUGCUGGGCCGUACGCACUACCCUCUGUAGUGCCUUGCAGUCGGAGGCCAAGCAAUUGCCAUACCAGGCAGUGAUGCAACCAGUUAGAAUGCUCUCGAUGUUGUAGCUGUAGAACCUUUUGAGGAUCUCAGGACCCAUGCCAAAUCUUUUUAGUUUCCUACAGGGGAAUAUGCUUUGUCGUGCCCUCUUCACGACUGUCUUGGUGUGUUUGGACCAUUCUAGUUUGUUGGUGACAAUAGAGUACUGUCAACAUUUGUACCUGAAAGGUAGACUACUCAGACAGAUGCACCUGCAAGAGGCAGAAACAACUAUUGUAUGUUAAACAAUAUGCAGGAGUGAGGAAAUUACCUAUUAAAUAUUGUGGGGUUUUUAUAAGUUUUUUUGACAUGCUUAACUAACUAUAAGCUAGUAGGGCUUCUUAUGCAUUAAAGUUUGAAUUGCUGACUCUUGUGAACCUGCAUUUUCCAUUAGUCUCUACUCUUACCAGUGCUCUGUCUAACCAUGAAUAUCAGCCUGAAAUGUGUGUGUGUUAAAGAGAGCGCUGUACUGUAUGAAAUAUGUGUGUGUAUGCAACAAAUGUAUCAGUAGUGUGGGCGCUGUACUGUGUGACCGAGACUGUGCUAAUCUUAGAGAGACACAGGAGGGGGGUGAAUCAGGAGACUGCUGACCAGACAAUAACAGAUAAACUAUAUACACGAAAAACAUAUGUGAGGUUCUGAGUUAUGCACUAUAACCCAAUACUAUAACAAACGUGAUUGGAUAUUGAUAACCUGUUGGCCUGGGCGCCUGGAUGUCUGUGUGUGUGUGCUGGAAGUAACAGUUAGCUCAGAAAAGAAGCUGGGAAGCUGUGGUUAGCCUUGAGCGAACAGUGGCCAUUGUAUACAGGUGUGAAUAGCUCAGACAAUGUUAUAAAACUGUCUGACCCCAGUCUCUGGGGUGAAGGAGCGUAAUCUACACAGCAACAAUGAAGGGACACCAGAAAGCGCAAAGAAGCUGGGACCAGCUUGUGUGCCAACAUCAACGAUAGGCUGGACAGGUUGGACCCGUUCUCAACUCUCACAAAACAAUGUAAUAACAUACAAGAGUCACACAAUAAGUAAGUAACACUGCAAUAUUAUUGUUUCACAUUGUGAAAACUCACCUAUGUAUGUAGCUUAAAGGGAAAUUAUAUUCUAUAACAGACAUUUUAGAAAACAUGUAUAUUACAUAUUAUGUUACAAUUAAAAUGCUGCCUGCCCACAAUACUGAACCAAAUGUACAUCACCCUCAUUUUCGUUGGCACAGAAUUUCUUGACGCAAUAUCCAAAAUGCCUAUUGAAGUACCUCAGCUGGUGAGGAAAUUCAGCAGAAAAAAUCCAAAAAGGGGGUUGGACACAGGCCCCCUUUGAGAAAGAAACCCUGAAAUUAAAAUAAUUCUGCUGCCAGAUUUUAGUAGAGCCACCUGCUUUUUCCUAAGGCCUUGCGUUCUCAGGCCUUGCUUGAAUGCAUCCAACCUUACUUUAAAACAAAUCACAGAUCCAAUAGGGCUGGAUUGGUGAAAGCAGUUGAAAUGUCUGCUUUCACCCAGGCAGAAUGAAAGGAGAAUGGGAGAAUAUGAAGCACCCAGGGUGUCAGUCUCCAGUGGGAACUUUCUCCCCUACGAGCCAGAGCAGGAAGAAGGCCAGAACCAGGAGGGCUGUGCCCAAUAGAUCCGCCAGAGCAGUGAGGUAGGGGAUGGAGUAACUGUCAGGGUCUUUGCCCGUCCGCCACAGACAAGGGAUCAUCCAGUCGGCAAUACAUAGCAGUGUGAAGACCUAACAGAAGGGAGAGAGAAAGAUUCAGCCCUUUAUUAUGAACUGGGUGGUUCGAGCCCUGAAUGCUGAUUGGCUGUCAGUAGUGGUAUAUCAGAUCAAAACCAUGGUUAUGACAAAAUAUUUAUUUUUACUGCUCUAAUUACGUUGGUAACCAGUUUAUAACAGCAAUAAGGCACCUCGGGGGUUUGUGAUAUAUGGCCAAUAUACCACUGCCAAAGGCUGUGUCCAGGCACUCCGUAUCACGUCGUGCGUAAGAACAGCCUUUAGUUGUGGUAUAUUGGCCGUAUACCACACCCCCAUGGCCUUUAUUGUUUAAUUAUAGUAUCAGUGUUAAUGAAAGAGCAGAGGAGAAAGAAUCCACGUAUGACUACUGAGACACAGACAUUGACCUAACUGAUCUCUCUUGCUUCCUGAUUUACCUGUAGGAGGCCUACAGCUAGGAAGAAGGUGAUGAAGACAGGUGUGGGAGAGGUGCUGCCCUUCAUCAAGUGGAUUGUGUACAGGAAGAUCAGGUGACCCGGUAUGUUAAAGGGACUGGUCAUGUGCAUGAGCCUGUCUACAUGUGUGUGUCAUUACCUGAGCCACAGAAGGUCCUGCAUGGGUUGUAGCAGCUCCUGCGAUCCUCAGACACCUGCCUCGGUGGGCAGUGGUGGUACAGAUCAGUGGCUAUACGACUGGACUGGAUGGCAACCAGGUUCCCCCCAAUACCUAGAUUGAGAUGAAGAAUACACAAUGAUCAUACAUUUGGAGAGAUCUUGUGACUUACCAUUUUCUUGAAGGUUCCUAAAUGUAAGCUUCUAAAAAUCCAGAUCCUUGUCUCACCAUUCAUAACUGGCGUGUAGACUAUCAUUCCCACCAUGUUCGGGUCAGAUACAGUUGUGUCCAAGAUAAGUCCUCCGAUACUAGAGAAAAAUACUUAUUAAAGGAUGGUAUUUCCAUUUGAAUGCUGUGACUGGACUUCAGGGGCACGGAACAGGGAAGCAGACCUGCUGAUGACCAUGGCAGUGAUGAUUGGUUCCCAGCCUGUGUAGAGUAGAAUGCGACUUGCUGGGUUUCUGGAGGAGACGACCACCCACAGAGGGGUCAGUCCGAGGAAGAACAGACACACCAGGUACGACACAUAGGGAUACAACUCUGUGUGGAGACAGGGAAAGGAGCACUAGCUAAACAAAUACAGUUGAUAGCUAGCCAGAUGAGUCAGAGCUGUAAAUGUAGCUAUGACAUCCCAGUAAAUGGGCCCAGACUGUCCCCUAGUGGCCUAAAGCUAAACCUCUUGAUUUAUACCAAUGCAUUCGUAGAGACCCUGGCUCAGGCAGGCCAGGAUGGCCAGGGUGAUGAGGUCACCAAAGCUGGCAGCGAUGGGCGUGGCCACGUUGUCUGGGUUGAUGCCAAUCCUCUUGGAGCUGAUGAUCACUCCCACCAUGAUGAUCCCUGGGAGAAAGCACAGUCGAGUCAGAUUCAGGCUACUGUUCAGAGUUGCACAACUCUCCAACCAAGGUGCAUGAAUUGAGCAGCCAAGAGUUGCACAGAUGAAAGCAAUGUGGUGACAGCUGGGAGAAGCGUCAAACUGGGGGAAGGGACAAGGGACUGUAAUGGCCUACAGUGGUAUUAUUCACUUCCGCUUUUAUCAAGUGGUAAAUGCAAAUCAAGUAUCUGUAAACACAGAUGGUCAAGUUGAAUUAGUUGAUACAUAUUUACAUUCCAAGGCAGAUAAAAUAGCAUGUUAUUCUGUGGACCGAUCAGUACCCAUCAUUCCAAUGAAAAUAAACCACAUGAAUAAUUCAUUUGGGUGUCCUAGCUACAUCACAAACUCUGCCUUACAGAGUCAGGUCUGCCUUUCAGAUCCCAAGCAUGAGUUUGAUUUGAGUCAUAACAAAAUGGUUUCGCAACAAAAAUGUCUGAUACGGAAGAAACCUACAAUGUCCGUUGUAGCUAAGCUUCCUGGUCUCAGAUGAUUAUAUUCUGUACGUCUCAAAUAGAAAGAGCAUUCAGGCUUGUCCAGGAAUACAGCAGAAGUGUACUGUAUUGCAAUUAAGUUGGAAUAAUGGUACAUGUAAAUGGAUGAGUAAGAGAAUGUGCCUCAGAGAGAGGUUAUGGUAGUGUAUGUAGAAAAAAAUACUAUAGUAUACUAUGGUCUAAAUAAUGUAGUAUUACUAUAUAUACUAUAGUGUUCACUGUAUGGUUUUUGCAGACUUUACUGUAGUGUUCACUCUAGGACAGCAGGCAGCCUGGCGGUAAGGAGUGUUGGGCCACUUGCCCUUGAGAAAGACAGUUAACCCUAAUUGCUCCAGGGUCGCCGUCAAUAAUGGCUGAUUGUCCGUGACCCCAUUCUCUCAGGGGGAGUGAGAUAUGCAAAAAAAAACAUUUCCAUAUUACACCUCACAUCUGUACAGGUUACCCACUUAUACAUACAGUGAAGAGGGCACGACAAAACCUAUUCCCCCUCAGGAGACUGAAAAGAUUUGGCAUGGGUCCUCAGAUCCUCAAAAGGUUUUACAGCUGCACCAUCGAGAGCAUCCUGACGGGUUGCACCACUGCCUGGUAUGGCAACUGCUCGGCCUCCGACCGCAAGGCACUACAGAGGGUAGUGCGUACGGCCCAGCACACCACUGGGGCUAAGCAGCCAUCCAGGACCUCUACACCAGGCAGUGUCAGAGGAAGGCGCUAGAAAUUGUCAAAGACCCCACCCACCCCAGUCAUAGACUGUUCACUCUACAACCGCAUGGCAAGCGGUACUGGAGCGCCAAGUCUAGGACAAAAAGGCUUCUCAACAGCUUUUACCCCCAAGCCAUAAGACUCCUGAACAGAUAAACCAUACAACGCGAACCAAGUCUCAAUUCAAGACAAGCGUCUCAUGUCUACAACUGUCAAUCAUUCCCUGCCAUGUAUCAUCUCCAUUACCUGAAUCUAGAAAGACUUUUAAACUGAACUGCAUCACUGCCUCCACCUGCUCAGUAGAUGGACAUCACCAUAACCCUCACCUAAACCUCAGUGUUUCCCUUGGGGAAACACGAUUGUUCUGAAUGGUAAAUGUUGACUUUGACCAUCAGUGAGUUUUUUCUUGAGUGACAAUAUUUAUGAUGUUCAUUAUGUAAGGCCACUGCAAUAAUGGCCUUUUAUUUGAAGUAGCUUUGGAGUGGCGUUGCUGGUUUGAGGUACAGGCUGUUUAUUGGCAGUGCCCUCCGAUAAGGGGUCUGUCUAAGUAAAGUCAUUUGUAUUUCUAAAAUAUCUAUUGUUUAUGUAAAUUCUGUGGUUAACUGUUCUUUAUUUUGUACCAUCAGAAGUACAGUAUUGUUUGUCACUGUUUCUGGUAAUCUUGUGAACUUGGUCAAUUGAAUCUGUGAAAGCACUCUAGUAUUUCAGAAAGCUAUCUAGUGGAAGUAACAGAUCUAUGAAGUCAUUUUGGUGUACUCUUGUUAAUGUGUGCUAUUUAUCUGUGUCAAACCUAAUCGUCAGCUUUACCAAACUUUGCUUGUUCUUUAUCUGCCUCUGUAGUGUUUUCCUUUAAUGGGUCUAGAACCUGUGUCUAACGUUUAGAUGUUACAAUUUCUCAGAACUUUUGCCCCAACUUAAUAGGUGGCCUGUCAUGAACCUGUGUGUCUUAUGUUCUGGUUGAGUUAUUCCCCUAAUUAAACAGUAACUGGGGUAGUCUUGUAGUUGUGCCAUUUUAGAUAAUCCUAGUCGGCAGGUGUUGCUACAGUCAUGUCUGCAAAAAAACACUACAGUGAAUACUAUAGUAUAUAAAUAUAAUACUACUGUAUUUAGACCAUAGUAUACUAUAGUAUUUUUUAAUGUGGGUUAGCUGUAAAUGUGUAAUAUGUUUGAACUAGGACCCCUUUUUUUGUAUUAUUCUCAUCAAAUUUCUAAAUGCAUUGUAUCCACAUUUGUGCUUAUAUUGUGUUUUUAAAAAGUCAAAUAAAAUAAUCAAUCAAGGGAUACUACAGUGUGGAGU